rnacentral:lncRNA from 1 species
UGAUCUUUAAGGUCCCUUCCAACCCAAAGCAUUCUAUGAUUCUAAUUACUGUGAGAUCACUCUCAAGUCACUAUGAUCUUUUCUGUUGACCUUGGGACAUAAAGAAACAAACACUAGUUGUUCUCCCAGACUAGUUUCAAGGUUGGAUCUUGUGCUCUGUUAGUGCAUGAAGGAUUCAUGAGGAUCUGCUCUGAAUGAUAGAAUUGAUCUAGCAUGCCAAACUACUCUGAAGUCCAAAAAUGUCCCAAAGGGAGAACUUUCAAGAGGACCUCAUAUUUUACAUUCUAAAUGAGCAAAACAACAUCAUUUUGGCAGGGAAGACACUCAGCACAUCAUGAACUAGAGUGAUUAUAGUCUCCCAUCUUGAGAGAAUUAGGGUGCUUCAUAAAUUUUAAAAUAUUUACUUUCAAAAUCUGUGCUCAGUACCUUCAGUAAUCUUCCCCUGAAUAUUCUGAAGCUGAAUUACAGUUAUCCUAUAACUUCUUGGCUUUACAGUAAUUUCUGGCUGAAACUGUAAGGUGUACUUCAACUGUAAAGCAUUUCACCUUUAU